GACGUAGGGGGCGAGCGUUAUCCGGAUUCACUGGGCGUAAAGGGCGCGCAGGCGGCUAUGUAAGUCCGGCGUGAAAUCCCAUGGCUUAACUGUGGAACUGCGUCGGAUACUGCAUUGGCUUGAGGGCGGUAGAGGCUUCUGGAACUAGCGGUGUAGCGGUGAAAUGCGCAGAUAUCGCUAGGAACGCCGGUGGCGAAGGCGGGAAGCUGGGCCGAUCCUGACGCUGAGGCGCGAAAGCUAGGGGAGCGAACCGG
rnacentral:rRNA from 1 species